UACAUUAUCUUUAAAUAGAUACAAUUAUGCCUAAUUUGUUUUCAAAAAAAAAAUUCAUGUAACUUUAAUUCGAGUCAUUACCUAAUUAUUUUAAUUUCAAAUAAAUUAACCAAGUUCCACUAUAAUCCACAAAUUUAUAGUAUACUUUUAAAAAAUAAUAAUUAUUAUUAUUUUAAAAAAAUAUUAUCUCAAAUUUUCAUUUAAAAUCUCAAAAUACGGAUGAGACUUGAUAAAAAAAAGGAGAGUUUUGUAUCCAAAAUGUGGACAAAGCGUAAGUCAAGAAAGGGUUAUAUCACCGGCCAAAACACGCAUUUGGUUUCCUCAAACAUGCCGCACUGGUAAAUAUGUGUAGCUUAUAAAUAUAUUAUACAAAUCUCUUUCAUAUCUCUCUCUCAACACUUCUCUUUCUUUUCUCUAAGUUGUACACUUCCAAAAAAGACAAGAAUAAAUGAAGAGAAGAAAACACCGCAUCCUUUCUACCAUGACGACCAACUUCGACAUUCACCUUUCUUGACAAAGAAUACUGAAGGCUAAGGAUAUUUGCAUGCAAUGUAACUUUGCUAUUCUUAAUUACUCUUACUUAUAAAUAAAUAAAUAAAUAAACAAUGAUUUUUUAGAUAUAGGAUAACACAGGCAGACAGGAUGGAGCCAGGCAGGCAAUGGUAUUGUUUUAGUUUUAUGGUUCUUUUUUUGUUUUUUUUUCUUCUCUUAAUUUUAAAAUUGUGCAAUUAGUUAUGUACUUUUCUUACUUAGUUCCUAUGAAAAUCAAAACUAGGAGGAGAAAACACUUAGAAUCGUUUUGACCUUUUUCUAGGUUUUGAUUUGGUGCUAUGAUCAUUUUAUACAUAUGUAUGUGGGCUUCUCGAUAUAUUAUUGGUAGUGUAGCAAUGAUAUAUAUAGAUAGAUAAUAAUAAUCAUUAUUGUUCUUCUGAUGUCUUUCAUUUGAUUCAAACUAUGUUUGUUCUUGUUAUUUUUGAUAGAUGCUGUGCUCUCAAUUUCAUCAACAAAACAUCUAUAUUGCAUAGAUAUGACUUUGGUUUAAAAGUUUAAAG
rnacentral:lncRNA from 1 species